AUUGAACGCUGGCGGCAGGCCUAACACAUGCAAGUCGAACGGUAACAGGAAACAGCUUGCUGUUUCGCUGACGAGUGGCGGACGGGUGAGUAAUGUCUGGGAAACUGCCUGAUGGAGGGGGAUAACUACUGGAAACGGUAGCUAAUACCGCAUAACGUCGCAAGACCAAAGAGGGGGACCUUCGGGCCUCUUGCCAUCGGAUGUGCCCGGAUGGGAUUAGCUAGUAGGUGGGGUAACGGCUCACCUAGGCGACGAUCCCUAGCUGGUCUGAGAGGAUGACCAGCCACACUGGAACUGAGACACGGUCCAGACUCCUACGGGAGGCAGCAGUGGGGAAUAUUGCACAAUGGGCGCAAGCCUGAUGCAGCCAUGCCGCGUAUAUGAAGAAGGCCUUCGGGUUGUAAAGUACUUUCAGCGGGGAGGAAGGGAGUAAAGUUAAUACCUUUGCUCAUUGACGUUACCCGCAGAAGAAGCACCGGCUAACUCCGUG
rnacentral:rRNA from 1 species